rnacentral:rRNA from 1 species
UAGGGAAUCUUCCGCAAUGGGCGAAAGCCUGACGGAGCAACGCCGCGUGAGUGAUGAAGGUCUUCGGAUCGUAAAACUCUGUUAUUAGGGAAGAACAAAUGUGUAAGUAACUAUGCACGUCUUGACGGUACCUAAUCAGAAAGCCACGGCUAACUACGUGCCAGCAGCCGCGGUAAUACGUAGGUGGCAAGCGUUAUCCGGAAUUAUUGGGCGUAAAGCGCGCGUAGGCGGUUUUUUAAGUCUGAUGUGAAAGCCCACGGCUCAACCGUGGAGGGUCAUUGGAAACUGGAAAACUUGAGUGCAGAAGAGGAAAGUGGAAUUCCAUGUGUAGCGGUGACAUGCGCAGAGAUAUGGAGGAACACCAGUGGCGAAGGCGACUUUCUAGUCUGUAACUGACGCUGCUGUGCGAAAGCGUGGGGAUCAAACAGG